rnacentral:rRNA from 1 species
UACGAAGGGGGCUAGCGUUGCUCGGAAUCGCUGGGCGUAAAGGGUGCGUAGGCGGGUCUUUAAGUCAGGGGUGAAAUCCUGGAGCUCAACUCCAGAACUGCCUUUGAUACUGAGGAUCUUGAGUUCGGGAGAGGUGAGUGGAACUGCGAGUGUAGAGGUGAAAUUCGUAGAUAUUCGCGAGAACACCAGUGGCGAAGGCGGCUCACUGGCCCGAUACUGACGCUGAGGCACGAAAGCGUGGGGAGCAAACAGG